rnacentral:misc_RNA from 1 species
CAGAGUUUUAUAACUCCCAACCCUUUGUGAACUUACCUUUGUUGCCUCGGCGGGGCUUACCCGGUACCGAUCCCUUUUGGGAGAAGCUACCCUGUAACCCGCCGGUGGACAUUCCAACUCUUGUUAAUUUUAAUGUUAUCUGAGCGUCUUAUUUUAAUAAGUCA